CGGGGGCAGCGCCGCGCCCGCCGCCCCUUGGGUGCAGCGCCGGGGUGUGGGGGCCGGGCAGCCGUGCCGGACCGGCCCGUCGACACCGGGCUGGGGGGCCCGGGGCGACCUCGCGGCGGGCAGGACUGUCUCCGUUAUCGUCUGGUUUGUUUUGUUUUGUUUUUAUUUCUGACUAGAAUGCGGAAAAGCCUUCCCGUCCUCAGGAGAGAAAAGGGAUCGAGAUGUUUCAUCUCACCCGAGAAACUUCUCCAGCGUCACACAGGAGCCCAAACCAACCAGAGCGGUAGUGGAAACGGCCCAUCCCCGGCAAAUCUUGGUGCACCCGGCGGCCGGAAGGCACCGGUUGCUCGGCGGGCCGGCCGGAGCUGCGGCGGGGAUGCUGACGGCCUGCUGCCCCGGCGGAGCGCGGCCAGUCCGGGCGCACGGCUCCGCAUCCUCCUCCGGCAGCAGGGACUUGCCGCGGGCUAACUCCAGCGCCGGGGGCAGGCAGGGACCUGCACUACGGGCGCCGCACCUUCGCUGACCGGGGGAGACCCCAGACAGGCCCCUCUUGAACUUGACUGGGGGCGCAGUGGAAGGACGGGGGUGGCCCAUCCCCUCCUGUUGCCGCAGGGGCCGCUCGGGCGAGCAACCCGCGGAACCUUGCAUGCUUUAAAAUUUACAUUUGAACAAAUUUACCCUCUCCUUCCUCCAAAGGUAGGGGGGGAAAAAAAAAGGAAAAAAGGUUUCUCGGGCAGAAAAGGACGGGAGAAAGGUGGAUUGCAGCCUCUGCGGCUGCACAUCUAAAACAAACAAAACCCCCCGAGCUCCCCACUGGCCCGUUAAAAUAGUUCCCUUCGAGGUGCCCCGGCUAGGCAUGGAUCUCUGCUUCUCUUUUGCUGUGAAGUCUUUCUCUCGCUGUGCGCAGAGCCGAGCCCGGGGCUGGACGCGGAGCGCUGCUGGCCCGGGUCCUUCCGGGGGGCGAGCGGGACCGCGCUGCACCGCGGCGGGCGAGGAGCAGCGGAGCCACCGAGGGCCGUCGGGUUUUCCUCCGACACGCACCUGGGUCGUGUCUGCGUUGCUCCGGACCGCGCCAGGCUUGGAAAACGUGCCGAAACUUAUCAAAGGAGAAUGCAAAAAUUGAAUCCAAAAAGUACCUGGCGUGAAACAUUGUCCAAACUUUUGCAAAGCUCCUGUGAUGCUUCAGUGUGUGCCCCUUGACACAUCACCAAGGCAUCUGAAGAGGCAAGAUCAGCAGAGUAUGUCAGUGCAGCCGCUCCGAAGGCAUCAGGUCUGAUACAGUCAGGACCAACGUCAGGAUGAGCAGCCAGGGGUGAAGACAGUUCUCUUGCACACCCCCGUGAGCCCAGUCUGCUCCUGCCUGAAGUGCACCCCACAAGGGCUUCUUUGGUGGUUGGGGCUGAAGAGCAUGAGGCAGGACACUGUUCUUCCUCCCCCACCCCACAUACUCCUCCUCGCUUACUCGAGUUGCAGCUUGUUCAGCAGAGACUUGGGCAUACCAGCCAGAACCCUUUUUUGGGGCAGUCCCUUUUGGGAACAUACUCAGCUGACCCCUUGGAGAAACCUUGUGAGGACUGCACUGAUCCGAACAAUAACACAAACCCAGCUCCUGCAGCUAAGUGUGAUUCGUAGGUGAUAUUUUUACAACCUGCUCCUUGUUUUGUAGCAGUAUUUAAUUGGUUCUAAAAAAAAAUUGCAAAACUAGGUCAGUUUGCCAUUGGGCCUUGUAAGACUCUUUAGCUAAAUCUCCAGACUUUACCUAGAAGUUAAUUUGAGCCAGACUUAGGAAAAAUAUAUAUUAAUAUACCCAAAGUCUCACGUGAGAAACUUGUAGGCAACGAUUUGGGAUUCAGAGCCAUAUUCAUAUUCCUAAGACUAAAUUCAAAGCCAUCGUUUAAAAGCAGGCUUGCACAUGUGUAUGUCCUGAUCUUUAAUUAGGCAAAACUCCCACUGACAUCAAUAGGAGUUUGACUUGAAUAAGAACUGCAGGAUCAGGUCCAUAAUUUGGUACCUGGGAUUUGAUUAAGCAGCUAAAUUACUAGAACAGUUUCCCCAUGUGUAUAAUUGCCUAAUUAAUUUUUAAAAUAGCUAAGUUCAGCACUGAAUAUGGUGUACCUCUUGCCACAUGAAAUUUAUGCUAUUUAAUCCAAGUUGAUGGAGCUAUUUGGAAGAGCCUGUAGAGUUUAUUUUACAGUUAAGUAGUACUGUUUAUUUUAAGCUCAGAAACAGCACCAUUGUGUUAAAAUGCCAUGUUCCAGAGCAGUGCUGUGCUACAUCCUAAUUCUUGAGUUCUGGCUGCUGUGAUUGAUAUUGCAGGUGCGAAAACACUCUGGAGGCCGGGGAAGAACUUAUUCUCUGAGAUGAUUUUUAAAUUCAGUGCUUUGAAAAGUUUUUUUUUGUCUUAUCAAUGAUUUGGGGGUUUUUUUGUUUUUUUUUGUUUAGUGCCCCAGCAUAGUGCCUGUGGUAGACUAUAUAUCAGAAUAAGUGUAUAUUGUUUGCUUUUUGCUGAAAUUUCAGUCUAAUACUGUGGGCUGGAGUUGAUACAUUUGCUUUCACAACUGAGAGACUUUGUUUGUUUGUUCUUUGUUUAAAACAGAGAACUUGUUCUGUAAGAGGAAUAGAGAGAUCAUAUAUGAGUUUCCUAAGUGGAAAAAUAUUGUGGAAGGAAUUGCAAUGCCAAAAAGUAAAAUCUGUUCUCCCUAAAUGUAUAUAUGCCUCUGUGUGUGUUUGGAUGUGUGUGUGUCUUGUGUGCAGACAUAAAUAAUGAGACUUGGAAUUGGCAUAAUGGAUAGUGCCUGCUCAUGCUGUUGACAGUUACUUAAUAAUGCAUGUUCUCCCAUUCUCUCCAGCUGAAUUCUUAAGGCAUUACCAUGGGAAUUUUCCCUUUUUGGGGAUUGCAGCAGAGCUCCAGGACUAGCUGUGUUUGUGAUGUGCAUCUUGCAGUAGUCCUUAUUCAGGAACUCCAUCCAAGCAUCUCCUGCAGAGAAUGAGACCAUCAGUUGUCCUCGCAGGAGAGCUCCACGCUGCAGCAAUGUAGCUGCAGAAGAGGCAGUGGAUCUGAGGAGGAGAUGCGUUUUAUGAUUUAUGACACUUUAUAAAGUGCAUUUCGCAGCAGGAUUGACAGAGCUGGAGACUGAAGUCCACCCAGUUUUGGGGAUGCAGAGGCAGGCCUCAGCAGGUGAUAAGAAAGGCAUGAGAACAGGCUGGAAGGAGAAUGAACUACUGAGGGGCCCAAGCUGAAAGAAAUAAAGACUUCCAGUACAUCACCCUGACAGUAAAGAACCAAGAAAAAGUGAAGUCUGGUGCUUCUGUCUCAUGCCCUUUUGAGCAUGAUUUCAGAGAAGGAGGGAUGUGCACACAGCUGCCUUGCCAUUGUGCUGGUGUCCAAGACAAUUUGUACAGCAGGUUCCUUUCCUGGCAGAAGCUGGUCAUUCUGCGAGCCCAUGGAAAGUUCUUGAGCAGAGAGCUCUCCAUAUCUGCUGCUGAUUGUAGGUAGUGUCAUGCUGUUUUCUUGGAAAAUGCAUUUGGAUGCUAUUUUCUAGAAUAAACAAGUUAAAGUGGUCAACAAAUAAAAUAGAUUCCUCCCA